rnacentral:rRNA from 1 species
CCCGCAAGGGGAGCGGCAGACGGGUGAGUAACGCGUGGGAACGUACCCUUUACUACGGAAUAACGCAGGGAAACUUGUGCUAAUACCGUAUGUGCCCUUCGGGGGAAAGAUUUAUCGGUAAGGGAUCGGCCCGCGUUGGAUUAGCUAGUUGGUGGGGUAAAGGCCUACCAAGGCGACGAUCCAUAGCUGGUCUGAGAGGAUGAUCAGCCACAUUGGGACUGAGACACGGCCCAAACUCCUACGGGAGGCAGCAGUGGGGAAUAUUGGACAAUGGGCGCAAGCCUGAUCCAGCCAUGCCGCGUGAGUGAUGAAGGCCCUAGGGUUGUAAAGCUCUUUCACCGGAGAAGAUAAUGACGGUAUCCGGAGAAGAAGCCCCGGCUAACUUCGUGCCAGCA